rnacentral:lncRNA from 10 species
GCCUACGGGUGGCCGGGCGGGAUGUAACCGGCUGCUGAGCUGGCAGUUCUGUGUCGCUAGGCUUCUGCCCGGCCGCCGCCGCACAUAAGCUGCGAGGAGGAGCUUUACGACUUCCCGGUCUUCGGGGCCGGGCGCAGCAAGGGCCAGACUCUGCGCUAGCAGGCGCUGCGCGCCAACCGGCCGGCACCUGUCGCAGAAGGUGCAACCGAUCGCACUGUCGCGCAGAAGCUCCUCAAUGGCCAGCGCCAGCUGCAGCCCCGGCCGCCCACUCGCCUCAUCUGAGCCUGGGCGAAUCUGGAUUGGGAAAGUUGAUAUUAAUCAACUCAUUAUUCCUCACAGAUUUGUAUUCUCCAGAGUAUCCAGGUCCUUCUCAGAGAAUUAAAAAGCCUGUACAGGUCUACAUAUUGGUAUUUUUAAUUGAUGAUAAGCUGGAAUAAUAUUAAUACACACAAAGCACGUGUUGUAACUUUCAUUAUGCUUCCCUAGAGGUGGAACAAUCCAAAGUUUUAAUCAGAGAAGGUGGUGUUCAGUUGCUGCUUACAAUAGUUGAUACCCCAGUAUUUGGAGAUGCAGUGGAUAACAGUAAUUGCUGGCAGCCUGCUAUCAAUUACAUUGAUAGUAAAUUUGAGGACUACCUAAAUGCAGAAUCGCAAGUGAACAGAUGUCAGAUGCCUGGUAACAGGGUGCAGUGUUGUUUAUACUUCAUUGCUCCUUCAGGACAUGGACCAUUACAUAACUGAAGACUCCCACCUUCAGGCAGGUUUGGGUAGUACACGUUUGUAACUACCUGGCAUUGCCUUUUGUUGAAGUAAUUUCAGUUUUUAUUAGUAGUAGUAGUAGUAUACUUUAAGUUCUACAGUAUAUGUUCACAAUGUGCAGGUUUGUUACAUAUGUAUACAUGUGCCAUGUUUGUUUGCUGCACCCAUUAACUGGUCAUUUACAUUAGGUAUUUCUCCUAAUACUAUCCCUCCCCCAUCCUCCAUGCCACGACAGGCCCUAGUGUAUGAUAUUUCCCGCCCUGUGUCCAAGUGUUCUCAUUGUUCAAUUCCUACCUAUGAGUGAGAAAUACCUAUGCGGUGUUUGGGUUUCUGUCCUUGUGAUAGUUUGCUCAGAAUGAUGGUUAACAGCUUCAUCCAUGUCCCUGCAAAGGACAUGAACUCAUCCUUUUUUAUGGCUGCAUAGUAUUCCACAGUGUAUAUGUGCCACAUUUUCUUAAUCCAGUCUAUCAUUUUAUGGUGUUCUCAGUUUAUAUAUUUAAAUCACUAAACUGACUCUUUGACUUAAAAGGCUCAAAAAAAGUCAUCUCAAAAAUACAACACACUUUAUAACCUUUUAUAAGUAUUUGUGUAGC